UGGAUCCAGACUUUGAUCAUGGCUCAGGACGAACGCUGGCGGCGUGCCUAAUACAUGCAAGUCGAGCGAGCUUGCCUAGAUGAUUUUAGUGCUUGCACUAAAUGAAACUAGAUACAAGCGAGCGGCGGACGGGUGAGUAACACGUGGGUAACCUGCCCAAGAGACUGGGAUAACACCUGGAAACAGAUGCUAAUACCGGAUAACAACACUAGACGCAUGUCUAGAGUUUGAAAGAUGGUUCUGCUAUCACUCUUGGAUGGACCUGCGGUGCAUUAGCUAGUUGGUAAGGUAACGGCUUACCAAGGCAAUGAUGCAUAGCCGAGUUGAGAGACUGAUCGGCCACAUUGGGACUGAGACACGGCCCAAACUCCUACGGGAGGCAGCAGUAGGGAAUCUUCCACAAUGGACGAAAGUCUGAUGGAGCAACGCCGCGUGAGUGAAGAAGGGUUUCGGCUCGUAAAGCUCUGUUGGUAGUGAAGAAAGAUAGAGGUAGUAACUGGCCUUUAUUUGACGGUAAUUACUUAGAAAGUCACGGCUAACUACGUGCCAGCAGCCGCGGUAAUACGUAGGUGGCAAGCGUUGUCCGGAUUUAUUGGGCGUAAAGCGAGUGCAGGCGGUUCAAUAAGUCUGAUGUGAAAGCCUUCGGCUCAACCGGAGAAUUGCAUCAGAAACUGUUGAACUUGAGUGCAGAAGAGGAGAGUGGAACUCCAUGUGUAGCGGUGGAAUGCGUAGAUAUAUGGAAGAACACCAGUGGCGAAGGCGGCUCUCUGGUCUGCAACUGACGCUGAGGCUCGGAAGCAUGGGUAGCGAACAGGAUUAGAUACCCUGGUAGUCCAUGCCGUAAACGAUGAGUGCUAAGUGUUGGGAGGUUUCCGCCUCUCAGUGCUGCAGCUGACGCAGUAAGCACUCCGCCUGGGGAGUACGACCGCAAGGUUGCA
rnacentral:rRNA from 1 species